CAUGUAGGAAUUUAAAAGUUGAACAAACUUCUUUUUUCAACUUCUUCACCGAAAAAGAAUCCUAAUCCAACAUCGAGGUCGCAAACUAUUUCAUCUAUAUGAACUAUCCAAAAUUAUUACGCUGUUAUCCCUAGAGUAUUUUUUUCAUUUAAUCGUUAAAAACGGAACCAAUUUUUAAUACAUAAAAAGAUAUUUAUUCUUUUUUCAUCACCCCAAUUAAAUUUUUUAAUAAAUUUAAUAAAAUUUAUUAAAAAAAUAAAAAAAUUCAUAGGGUCUUCUUGUCCCUAAUUUUUAUUUUUGCUUUUGCACUAAAAAAAUUAAAUUUAAUUAUUUAAUUAAAGAAAGUCUAUAAUUGUUUAAUCAUUCUCUUAGCACCCAUUUAAAAUCUUAUUUCAAUACCUUCGUAUAGUCAAAAUACCACAGCAAUUUAAAAAUAAUCAUUGAGCAGAUUUUACAUUUUAUUAUUUUUCAAAAUGAAAUGUUUUUGU
rnacentral:rRNA from 1 species